GGCAAUUCUGUGACACUUUCCAAUCUAAGGCCGACAGAGCAAGGCAACCAGAUUUUUUUCUACAGCACCCUCCCAGGUGAGCAGUGGGCCUGGAGCCCUUCUGUAACCUGGCAUCUGUAGGUCUUCUCAUUAAGAACGAGAGUCAGAAGAGGAAAGGACUUAACACUCAUUACAACUCAGUCAUGGGGCUCUGAAGCGUCCCGAGGUCCCCUCUUUCCCACCCUACCUGUCGGCUGCGCGGCUCCACCACUUGCCAAACUAGGAGGAUUAAGUCGGUCUCGUCCGAGCCUAGGUCCGGCCCCAGCGCACCGGCAGUGGCCCCGAACAAAACCACCAGCGACUGAGCAGGCACUCUGAGUCCUCCGCAAAAGAAUGUGCAGGAUCAGAGGCCUCUUUCCAUUCUGCAAGGGUCACGCAAGACCCAUGGAAUUCAACAGGAGGCAAUCUAGGGACUAUAAAAGGUCGCGACGUCUGGCUUGAGGUUAAUGGAAGUUACAAAGGGUCAAAAGCCGACAGUGAGCGCUACCAGGUGUCGGGUCGGCGUAGUGCCGGCAGUGCAAGGCGCACGUUACUGUGGACCUGAAGGCUCAGGCCUUGGUGCCAAGGCCGCCCUGUGGGCUCAGGAUAGUUUCCCACCUACUCGACUGUAAUUAGUACUCUGGCGAGAGUAAAAAGGUACUGGCGUGGGACUUAGAAUACAGGAUGCCACCGGCUGAAGAAGAACCUUGUGUGUUUGGAAAAGCGGGCUGCUUCCUAUCGGUCUUGGAUAAAAGGCAACCCAGAGCCCGGGUGCAUCCCUAACUCAUGCCCAAGGAAGGUCGUGCGGAGCCAGAGGACCUAGAAUGUAUAGUGCGCCUUCUGGGUUUGUCCACACAAUAGCGCAGGAACACAGCGACCCAAUAUAGUGAGAAGUGGCCGCAGCGCACACCCUGAGACCCUUCACCAGGCGGCCCACCCGGAGCCUGCCUACUCAGCCCCGCUACCACGAUAAGCCUGGAAUGUCAAAUAUUUGUUCUAGGAACCCAGUGAAACCUUGAGACCUCGCCUCCCGAUUCUCGGGAGAUCUUGCUGACUGUGGAAUCCCUGGCUGUUCCGAACCCCCUGGAAAGAAGCGGCUGUUCCCAGGUUUCUGCAAGGUAACGAAUCUGAAGAGUCAACAGAAUUGAGCGGCUCCAUUCAUUCGACUCUGGUUCUCUCAACCAGGCAUUCCCCAUAUUAAAACAAUUCCA
rnacentral:lncRNA from 1 species